GUUGAGAAUAAGAAUAUAUAUAUAAAGUAUAAACAGCUCUAAAAAAAGAUAAAAAAAUUAAAGCAAAAAAUCUAAAAGAAGACCAAGACAUAAUUCUAUUUAAUAAUCUAAGUUCACCUACCAAAUUUAAAGAAGGAGGAGCAGCUAUAUUAGAAGAACUCAAAAGGAAUCAUCAUAAAGCCAUUCUUGGUAUUAAAUUAAUUAUACCCUUGUUAAUUAAUAAUCUUCGUCUACCUAAACGCUCAUAAAUAAUAUUAGAUAAACAAAAUAAACCAGAAGAACAUAAACCAUGACCAACCAUUAAAGAAAGAGAACCUAUACAACCCCAUCAAUUUAUAGUCAUCAAACCCCCAAUAACUAUUCUUAUAUGAGCAACAGAAGAAUAUGCAAUUAAAGACUUUAAAUCAACCUGACGAAAACAAAUAAAUCUAACAAUAACACCACCAGAUAAACCUAAAGACAAUCAAAAAUAAUUAAAUUUUAAACCCAAAUAGGAAAUAACCUUCAUAACACGAAAAAUACCAUAACCACCUAACUUCAAUAAAACACCAGCAAGAAUCAUUCUACCUGAAAUAGGGGCCUCAACAUGAGCCUUAGGAAGCCAUAAAUGAACCAAAAAUAUAGGCAUCUUAACUAAAAAAGCAAGAAUUAUAAAAACAUAAAAUAUAAAAUAAUAAGAACCAAAAUCAACCAAUAAAGGAAAUAUAAAGUAUUAGAAAAAUCAUAAACCCUAAAUAAAACUAAUAAUAAAGGCAAUCUAGCAACCAGAGUAUAAAAAAUUAAAUAAACACCAGCCUGUAACCGUUCAGGUUGAUAACCCCAACCUAAAAUCAAAAGUAAAGUAGGAACCAAUCUAGCCUCAAAAAAAAUAUAAAAAGAAAGAAGACUCAAUCUAGCAAAAGAACAAUAAAGCAUAAUCAUUAAAAUUAAGACCAUAAAGACAAAAAAAUUAGAAUGAUAAGAACUUAAAUAAACUGAACCUCUAGCAGUAAUUAUUAAGGAACAAAUCCAAAAACUAAGCAAAAUCAAACUAAAAGAAAAAUAAUCAAUACCAAAAUAAUAUCUAAUUAUAUUCAAAUCCGCAUAUGAAUAAACACAAACCAUAAAAACAAAACUAGACAUAAACAUUAAAGAAUGAACCAAUCAUCAACAAUUAUUAACCAAACAAAGAGGGAUCAAAAAAAUAGUUAUAAAUAAAUACUUUAACAUAAAGACAAACCAAAAGAAUUAAAAAAAUCAUUUCCAUGAGAACGAAUUAUUGAAACUAAGAUAGAGAGACCCAAGGCUCCCUCACAAACAGAAAAAACCAAAAAAAUAACAGGAAAAAAAUAAUCAUAAUCAAACUCAAUAAGAAAAACAAUAAUUAAUAUAAAUAAAGAAAGAACAAUAUAUUCUAAUCUCAAAAGAACCAUUAAUAAAUGCUUACGUUUAGAAGAAAAAACAUAAACACCAGCAAAAUAAAUCAAUAAAGAAGUAAAGACAGAGAAUAUAAACAUUAGUUUUAAUAGUUUAAAAAAAACGCCGGUCUUGUAAACCGGAAAUAAGUUCAGCCCCCGCUUUUAAAACUUCAGAGGUGGAAAAGCUUUCCAUCAUCGGUCCCCAAAACCGAUAUUUUAAUAAACUAACCCCUGAAAUGAUUAAAAUAAUAAUUAUAUCACUAUCAAACGUAAUAAAUAUUAAUUUUAUUAAAUUAAGACACCCAAUAUCAAUAAUGCUUUUCAUUAUCCUACAAACCUUUUUAGUCGGACUAAUAACAGGAACAAUAAUGGAAAGAUAUUGAUUGUCAUAUAUUUUAUUUUUAACGUUUCUUGGUGGUAUAUUAGUUCUAUUUAUUUAUAUUACAAGAAUCGCAUCAAAUGAAAUAUUUCAACCUAAAUCAAUUACGAUAAUUAUUACCUUAACUAUAUGAGUAUUUAUUAUAUUGAUAUUAAUUAUUCUAGAUAUAACAAUAUUUAUAGACUUUUUCAAAAAUACUGAAACUAUAAAUAUUGAUAACUCAAUCAAUUAUCAAGAAAUAACAAUAUCUUUAGAAAAACUAUAUAAUAGACCAACAUUUAUUAUUACAAUAAUAAUAAUAAUUUAUUUAUUUUUGGCACUAUUAGCAGUCGUUAAAAUCACCAAUAUUAACCAGGGGCCUAUUCGUAAAAUAAGAUAAUUUACUAAUGAAUAAACCCUUACGAUUAAGACAUCCUUUAAUUAAAAUCAUUAAUAACUCUUUAGUUGAUUUGCCUGCACCAACAAAUAUUUCAUUUUGAUGAAAUUUUGGAUCACUGCUAGGACUAUGUUUAGUAAUUCAAAUUGUAACCGGACUAUUUUUAGCCAUACAUUACACAUCAAAUAUUGAAAUAGCGUUUAGCAGUGUAGUUCACAUCUGCCGAGACGUAAAUAAUGGUUGAAUUAUUCGAACAUUACAUGCAAAUGGAGCCUCUAUAUUCUUUAUUUGUAUUUAUUUACAUGUAGGACGGGGAAUUUACUACGGAUCCUAUAUAUAUAUGCACACCUGAAUAAUUGGUACAGUAAUUCUAUUCUUAGUUAUAGCAACCGCAUUUAUAGGAUAUGUUUUACCUUGAGGUCAAAUAUCAUUCUGAGGUGCGACAGUAAUUACUAAUUUAUUAUCAGCAAUUCCAUAUUUAGGAACAGAUUUAGUUCAGUGGGUAUGAGGAGGGUUUGCUGUUGAUAAUGCAACAUUAAACCGAUUCUUUACAUUUCAUUUUGUUCUACCAUUUAUUAUUGCUGCAAUGGCAGCAAUUCAUUUAUUUUUCCUCCACCAAACAGGGUCUAAUAACCCUUUAGGCCUAAAUGGAGAUAUUGAAAAAAUUCCAUUUCACCCAUACUUUACUUUCAAGGACUCUAUUACAUUUGUAUUAAUAACAUCAUUAUUAAUUAUAUUGUGCUUGAUCAAUCCUUACCUUCUAGGGGAUCCAGAUAAUUUUGUACCUGCUAACCCAUUAGUAACUCCCGUCCAUAUUCAACCGGAAUGAUAUUUCUUAUUUGCAUAUGCAAUUCUACGAUCAAUCCCUAAUAAGCUAGGAGGUGUUAUUGCACUAUUUUUAUCAAUUAGAAUCUUAAUAAUUUUACCAUUUUAUAAUAAAACACCAUUCCGAGGUAUUCAAUUCUAUCCUAUUAAUCAAAUUUUAUUCUGAAUUAUAGUAGUUGUUGUAUGCUUACUAACAUGAAUUGGUAAACGACCUGUUGAAGAGCCUUACAUUAUAACAGGACAAAUCUUAACAAUUAUCUACUUUACAUACUUCUUAAUUAAUGUACACAUUGCAAACGCAUGAGAUAAACUAAUUAAGGAAUAAUAAGUUAAUUAGCUUAGGAAAAGCAUAUGUUUUGAAAACAUAAUACUAGAAGUUUAACUCUUCUAUUAACUUUUCUUAAAAAAUUUCACUAAAUAAAUGAAAUAAAUAAAAUCUUUAAACCGACAAAGAAAAUAAAAAAAUUUAAAGAUAAAGGCAAAAAACUUUUUCAAGCUAAGUAUAUUAACUUAUCAUAACGAAAACGCGGUAAAGUCCCACGAACUCAAAUAAACCCAAAGGACAUUAACGCAAGCUUAAUAAAAAACAUAAAAGAAUAAAAAUCACCGCCUAAAAAAAUUAAAGCUAAUAAUAUUCUUAUAAAAACAAUUCUUGUAUACUCAGCUAAAAAAAUUAAAGUAAAUCCACCUGCACCAUAUUCAAUAUUAAAGCCUGAAACUAACUCAGAUUCACCUUCGGCAAAAUCAAAAGGAGUACGGUUAGUUUCAGCUAAACAAGAAGCAAAACAAGCUAAAGCCAAAGGAAAAGAAAUAAUAAUAAAUCAACAAUAAAGCUGAUAAUUUAUAAAAUCAAACAUGUUAAAACUACCAAUUAAAAUAAUUAAAGAUAAUAAAAUUAAAGCUAAACUAACUUCAUACGAAAUUGUCUGAGCAACAGAGCGAAGAGAACCUAAUAAAGAAUAAUUUGAAUUAGAAGAUCAACCAGCAAUUAUAACAGUAUAAACACCUAAUCUAGUACAACACAAAAAAAACAAAAACCCAUAAGAAAAAGAACAUAUAUAAGUCAAGUAAGGGAAAAUUACUCAAACAGCCAAGGAAAUCAUUAAAUUAAAAACAGGGGAAAAAUAAUAAAGUAAAUAAUUAGAUAUAAUAGGAAUUGGCUGCUCCUUACAAAUUAACUUAAUAGCAUCACUAAAUGGUUGAGGAAUUCCUACAAAACCUACUUUAUUUGGGCCCUUUCGAAUUUGGAUGUAACCUAAAACCUUUCGCUCUAGUAAAGUUAAAAAAGCAACACUAAUUAAAACACAAAUAACUAAUAAAAGAAAAUUUAAAAUAAACAUAAAUAAAUCAUAAAGUAUCAAUACUAUUUGUAGAAAAAAUCUACAUAAAUGAAUUCUAAAUUCAACACAUUAAUCUGUCAAAAUAGUAAUUUAAUUAAUAUUUAUCAAUAAAACAAAAAAUAUUUCAACCAUAUGGUCCUUUCGUACUAAUAUGAAUCAAUAAUCUUAGGAUAGAAACCGACCUGGCUCACGCCGGUCUGAACUCAGAUCAUGUAAGAAUUUAAAGGUCGAACAGACCUAAUCACUGGGCUACUGCACCCAAAAUUUUUCUUAAUCCAACAUCGAGGUCGCAAUCUGCUUUGUCGAUAUGAGCUCUCAAAAACAAUUACGCUGUUAUCCCUAAGGUAACUUAAUCUUAUGAUCAUAAAUUAUGGAUCAAAACAACAAACAUAAAUAAAUGAUAUAAUAAUGAAGAGUUUAUUUAUUCUUCAUGUCACCCCAACAAAACAUUAUCAUUAAAUAUAGAAAGACAAACAAAAAACUAUAUAAAAAUAAAAUGUUAAGCUCUAUAGGGUCUUCUCGUCCUAAAGAAAAAUUUAAGCCUUUUGACUCAAAAGUUAAAUUCAAAAAUUUAUUAAGAGACAGUUGAUUUCUCGUCAAGCCAUUCAUUCCAGCCACUAAUUAAGAGACUAAUGAUUAUGCUACCUUUGCACGGUCAAAAUACCGCGGCUCUUUAAAAAUCUGCUCAGUGAGCAGGCCAGACCUCAAAGUAUUUUCAAGAGGACAUGUUUUUGAUAAACAGGCGGAAAUCAAUUUUGCCUAGUUCCUUAUAAUAAAUUCACAAGGUAAAAAUUAUAUACAAAUAAAUAUACUAAUUCUA